GCGUAUGGCCGUAGGGUGUUGUGGGGCAGGUCGCUCAGAAAACACACCAAGUCCCAGUUUUGUCCAAAUUUGAAGAGUCUUGUAGCCAUUAGGCUGGUGACUGCUCCAGGCACAGUCACCGGCCUGAGCAUUUUAGGAUAUUUAAAGGCAAAAACUGCAAAACCCACAUCGGGGUUGACAUAGCUGUAAGCAAGCAGGUACAGAAGCUGAACUGGGCAGUUAGCGAGACAAUGCAGUGGGUGCAUUGGUAUUUCCCAUGGGACUUUCCAGGUUGGCGUAGCAGAAAGCAAGAAGAAGGGAAGUGGGUCAAAAUGACCCUAGUUGGGUACAAGUUAGAGAAUGGUUGCUAACGUCUAGACAGUCAUUGCCCAAGAAACAUGGGACCCAAAGAGAGAACAAUUUUGCAUUGUAUAAGAAUUGCCAUUUUGUGUUGCCAUGUAUGCUAUGCUAGGUAACUGUUAGUGGGUAUAGGGGCAGGACUUUCCCAUGGGAGAAGCAUUUCUUACAUGAUAUGGAGUCUCAGGGUAAAAUGGAGUCUGUUUGGUCAUUGCCCAUAUAGCCUGGUCCAUAACAAGGGGAAGCCCCAACCCCUGGACCUGCAGGGAUUUCCAUGAUCAGACAAAGAACUUUAAACCAAAAUAAAGAGGGCUGAUCAGCUGCCUCACCCAAAAGCCAGUCUGGCAUAAGAGCAGGGUUUUUAUUAUAGCACAAUUAGUUACAAAGGCGGGUGUCUUGGGAACUUAGAGCUAACAGGGUUCUGGCAAGCACAAUGCAAGGGCAGAUAGCAGAUUAAUGAUCUACACUCCUUAACAUUUCAAGGUAGGGAGUAAAUUCAGAUUCCAACAUCAGAAUUAAUGAGGAGCCACUGAGUUUUCAGGGAGGGUUGUUAUUUGGU
rnacentral:lncRNA from 1 species